rnacentral:misc_RNA from 1 species
UGGAAUAACAAAGAAAUAUUGAUUAAAUUGUACAUAUUUAUUUUUACAAUUAUGCGCCGAUCAUAAAAUAAUCGCGAGAGCCGGCGGCGCCCGCGCGAUAAACAUAUUCUGAAAAAGCAUUAGACGCCGGCGAUCGCCUCGGAGCUCGAAGUCAGAAAACGUUAGAUGGGGGAAGAGGCAGAGGAGAAAGGGACAAACUCAGCCGCGAACGUAGCCGAGUGCGCGACGGCUCACGCCGAUCGCAGCCGAGCGCGCGUGCCUCACGGAUAGGGGGAGUGCGAUGUGUGCGUGAGCGUGCCCGGGCUUGAAAUCGCAUCACAGGACUGGCCAUCAUCAGGGGGCCACUUUUAAUUGGUCCGACUGCCACCAGACGACGCAACGAUUUUGUAAUACAGAGUUCUUUUAUAUUUAAGUUUUUCUAAGUUCUUUUUCAGUAAUUAGAGCCACCGCACAAGCUUUUUCGUAACACGAUUUAUUUACAGGUAUGCAACUUUUAAACCCAAAAAUCUGCCUUUCUAACACUACCAGACCAAAAUUUUGUGAUCUUCCCUUUAUUGAUAUAUUUAUUAAUGCAAAUGAUUUGAGUACAGCUGAAGUUGAAUACAAUUCAUUAAUUAAUGUUAACUGGAAUUUUUUAUACGGAAAUAAUAUAUUUGAAAGUAGUUUUAGUUUUUGGCCUAUUGUAGCACAACAUAAGAAUGCUGGAAAUUUUUUAGCUUUUAAUACAAUAGCACAAUAUGUUUUGAAAAUUCUAACUUUGCCAAUGUCAAAUGCAGCGGUCGAAAGGGUCUUUAGUGUUAUGAAUGCAUCAAAGGACAAAAUGAGAAACAGAAUGGCAACUGAAAUGUUAAAUGCACUACUCAUGAUUAAGUCACAUUGUUAUGCAAACCAAUUUUGUUGUAGAAAUUUUGUUUGCACACAGCAAAUGUUGGAAAACUUUAAUAAUAAACAUAUGUAUUUAUGUAAAAACACAAAUGCGUUUGAAGAUGAGCAAUAUAAAGAAGAUAUGUAUAUCGUAGAGGCUGUGAAUGAAGAUAAUAAUGUUGACAAAACUACAAACUUUUGUAGUUCAAAAUAAAUUAUAGAAUAUGCUACAGAAUAAGAUGCAUGAUUAAAAUAUACUUUUAUAGAGAAAUAAAAUCUCGUUUUCUUUUCUUCGCACAUUCGCAUUCUUGUCAAUUAAAAAAUAUCGAUUUAACUGUAAUACUACUACCUAACUAAUUAACUUUAUUCAGUUUUUUUAGAUAACAUAAUAGAAGUACACAAAAUAAUAGAAUAUUUACGAUUAAAAUCUUUUUAGUUCCAUGAAAUGAGUAUUGUUAAAAAUCUGUCCUGUAAUAUGCUUUUAAAAUGUUUUCAAACGUUUUGGUGCAAAAAUGUUGCCAGGACUGGCGCAAUGUGGCGCAUUCGGUUGCCAGGACUGGCGCAUUGAUGUAUCUAAAACCUGGCAACCCUGUGACGAAGCAAGAAUAGAAAUGAACCUAACCGAACAACUGAAUAAAGGAGGAGCCAGCAGCCCGGACAGCGUCUGGAAUUGGUUGAAAAGAGAGGAACUGAGCACACUCUAGAUAGUAUAUGAAUUUAUUAAGAAAAUAGGAAGAAUAAUAUAAGAAAAGAGGGAGGCGGGGUAAUAACCCUGCAAAGAUAAGAGAUAUGUCAUAUAUCUGCAUCAGAUCAGACACAAUAAACCUCCAAAAAAAAAAAAACUUUAGCGAUUAAUAUCUCGCUUCCCGGAGCAGAGCGACGCUUUUUUUGUUAGAUUCGUUCGUUUGAAGCAAAAUCGCGUCGAAUAAGCACAACUACAUCGAUAUUUGAAUACCAGUGCCUAAACUGAAUCAUUACCAUUACCAAGAAAAGAGUGAAUGGUGAGGAGAGAAAUGCUUGGAAUUUACAAAGUGCUCGACAGAAUAUACAUAUAUGGACUCUAAAGCCUAUGUAUGCUGCUGUUGAUAAAUUUACCAAAAUUCAUCCCUUUUUAAAUUCAGCGAACCAUCAUAGAGAAUUGGCAGUACAAUUUAUGUCAAAAGGAUUACCUGAAAGUGUACUUUCUAGUUUUUCAAGUAUGUCACUAUUUUAUGGCAGGCCAGCAAAAGAGUCUAGGAUGCUCAAGGAGGGGGAGGAGACUUUGAUACUCACCGAAGACGACAACAAACCCUUGUGGAUUACUUGGAGACCAGCAAAACAUAACGGCUCUUACGUAUACAUCAACAACGCAAUGAUCCUCUCCAACCAGAGCAACGUUAAAUCAACGUUAAAAGUCAAGGGCAAAACCGUGAUUCAGAUCCUGCACAUCAUAAACGAGGUGCUGGAGCCAGUACAAUACAAUUCAAAUUAUUUGAAAGAAAAGUCCACUUAUAAUCCAAACGCUUUUGACGUUUUAAACCAGAUCGAGAAUCUCAAUUUGAGUGACUAUCGCGUACGUACUUUCCGACAGAGGGUCCUCAUCGAACAGAAGAAAUAUAUCUUCACGACGGAGGGUCGUUAUACCUUUUUCAUCCCCGUUGAUGAGGGUUUCAAGCCGGAGCAGAGAUCGUAUAAAAUCGAUCAACUAGUAAUUGAAGAUCAUAUAUUACCAAAUAAGAUCCUCUUCACCGCACCGACGCCGGAGAAAGUGCAGUAUCAGACCCUCGAGUUCUACAACAAACUGCCAGUCGUCGUCAGUUUUUUCAAGUCACAAAAUAAAGUCUACGUGCGGUCGGACACAUUGGUGGGCGUUGCGUCUCAUCAAUCAGGAAUGGUGCUGGCGGAGAUAGUCAAGGCAAAUAUUCCCGUACGCAACGGCGUAGUUCAUCUGAUAGAACGGCCGCUCACGGUCGUCGGCAGCACCUUGAAGGAUUUCCUGGAGGAAAACAAAAAUGGACCGGUGGGCAAAUUUUACGAGAUAAUUCACAAUUAUGGGGGCGAGAUUAUGAGUUCCAUCAGUCACCUGAAUGAUGUUACUCUGUUUGUGCCCAGCAAUGACGCGCUGGAUAAGACAGAUGUGAAAAAGAUGCUGCAGGACAAGAACUGGUUGAGAGAAAUCCUUAAACUUCACUACGUCAAGAAGCGGCUGACCCUUGAGGAAAUCGAAGACAAAGCCAUCAGGCUGGACAAAACUUUAAGCAGGAAAUGGUAUGACGGGGUGCCGACCGCCGCCUACAAUAAAAUGCUUUACUUCGACGUGGUGUGGAGAUCAACGGAGAUUUCAACCGUCACCGUAGAGGGCAGCGGUGGAAACGCUACUAUUAUUAUCCCCAACAUCGCCAUUACUAAUGGGAUUGUUCAUGUAAUCGACAGAGUUCUUGGAGUACCCUCUACUGAUGUCCUUGACAAACUCGGGACUUAUCAGGGGCUCAACUUGACUCACUUUCUGGGCCAGCAAUGCGGAUUUAACAACCAAUUGAACAAUACCAAAAAAUGGUUUACCUACUUUGUUCCGCUCGACGAGGCCUGGACAAACCCGGAAAAUAAUGAUUUGUCAACCAUUAAGAAAGUCUUUAUGCCCAAGUACAGUUAUUACGCGAAGAAGAUAUUGGCGCGACACCUCAUAAUAGCCAACCAGACGUAUAGAAUGACGAAACUGAUGGAAAUGAAUCUAAACUUCAAGGUCAAGGUAGAAAACGAAGAAAAUUACCGUUACGCCAAUAAGGUUGCGGAAAAGACGGGCGCUUGUUAGGCGACCGGGGCGUCGGCGGCUCCGACAACCAGCUACACAGCCCUAAAAAUGGUACAGGAGGAGGUUCGGUGCGGUUGCGGAUGGAGUCGGGAAGGCGAGAGGACUAUCAAAAACUGACAGCUGACAGCGCUCUUCUAAGAAAUCAAUAAAUCGAUCGACUUUUGGACAGCUGAGUCGCGGCCGAGAAGUAUCCCAGGCAACCAGCUGACGUCGAAAUGACGUGAAUAUAAGGUCAGUUUUUGACCCGUUCGACGUCAGUUUAUGACGUCAAAUUGACGUAAUGACGACGUGAGUUUGUCUCGUAAAAAAUGACGUCAGGUUAAUGACGUUUACUUACGUCAUUUUUAUGACUAUCCCAGGUAGUAAAAGUCGCCGUUAUUCUGACAUUUUAGAAAAUAUUUCGGAUACAUGUUCUAUAUAUGCAGUAUACUUGCAUUGUGAAAAUAUCGAAAUAACAUAAUUAUAAUGUAA